rnacentral:lncRNA from 7 species
AUCGUCGACGCCACCUUCCAUCGACAGCGACCUAAAUCCUCGGCGCCCGCACCACAUCGAGGGCGGGGGACAUGAACCGCUAUAAAUACAAAGCGCGGACGCCUCCCCACCACCAUCCUCCUUGCAGUUGAUGUUGUUAUCUUGACUACAACUUGAUAUCAAAUUGACCUGGCGUGCCUGCUGCUGGGCGACGCAGUUUUUUAUUUAAAGAUACUUAGUUGUGGUCGUAAUUUUGCAUCAUAUAAAUAUAAAUGAAAAUAUCGGUACAGUAAUUCUUAACUGAGGUGUUUCCUACUGAAAUAAAACACACCUUGUAAAGGAGCAAUUUACAACUACGUGCUCUAAUUAUACUGCCACGGGAAUUCCACAGGCAUUCCUAACAAAGAGGUGAUUGGUCUAUUUUCCGACUGCCCUCCACACAGUUCCUGUCGACUCCAC